CCAACGCGAGGUGCAACUGCAUUUUUGUUCUGAACGCUGCAAGCGGCGAAUCAAAAACUGCGUUAUCUGAGAGAGAACGUAGGUGUAACGUUUAAGAUUCACUUACCCACAAGUGCAGCCUGCCGAUGAGCAGAGCUGCGCAGGUUCUCGGCGACGUGGAUGGGCAAACAGGCAAAUGAAGUUUCCUCUCACUUGGUAUUUCCCCUCAGACAACAGAAUGGUCUCAUUUUGACCCAGGCUAUCAGUUUCCCAACAGGUCCGGAAUUGUGCUGACGCUGGCGGUGCAUGGAAAGCAAACACAAAAUUGCAGGGAAGUACAUGGCCCUGCAUCGGUUCAUUUGCAGCAAACAACUAUUCAGGAACAUUUCGCUUUGCCAGGGGACCGAAACUCUUCUAUUGCAACAAAAAUAAACAAGGUCAGACCUGCCAACCUGGGAACAAGUCUGGCGAACCUUCAUUGUACUCUGUUUGUGGUAAUAAUAUCCGUCCAAAGAUUCUCCUGACAGAUAUGAUGAGUUGUUUCGUUAACACCAUUGGACAGAAAUACAUGGCUCUGUAGUACUACUGAAACCAGCUCCAGAGCCAGGCCUUGGACUGUACCACCGCUGCAUGGACCAUAGCUGGUUGUCCUGCCUAGAAACAGAUUUUGACUAGCGGAGUAGUACAAGGAUCAGGACUUGACCCCAGAUGUUCACUAUAUGUAUAAAGGAAGAUCCAUGGUAUCUUCUAGCAAAACUACCAGGAACCAGCCCGUGUUGAAAUCAUCACUGUAAGGUUUAUUUCAUGAUUAUAUGUUGUUUAAGAAAAACCUUCAGGAAAACCAUCCACUAAUAGAAGUUACAUUAAUUGCAUCCACAGUAACAUGAAUAACCAAAUAUUUUACUGCACAAUCUGUGCAACAGUAUUGUAUAUAGCAUUUAAAUCA